rnacentral:rRNA from 1 species
GAUGAACGCUGGCGGCGUGCCUAAUACAUGCAAGUCGAGCGAACGGACGAGAAGCUUGCUUCUCUGAUGUUAGCGGCGGACGGGUGAGUAACACGUGGAUAACCUACCUAUAAGACUUGGAUAACUUCGUGAAACCGGAGCUAAUACCGGAUAAUAUUUUGAACCGCAUGGUUCAAAAGUGAAAGACGGUCUUGCUGUCACUUAUAGAUGGAUCCGCGCUGCAUUAGCUAGUUGGUAAGGUAACGGCUUACCAAGGCAACGAUGCAUAGCCGACCUGAGAGGGUGAUCGGCCACACUGGAACUGAGACACGGUCCAGACUCCUACGGGAGGCAGCAGUAGGGAAUCUUCCGCAAUGGGCGAAAGCCUGACGGAGCCACGCCGCGUGAGUGAUGAAGGUCUUCGGAUCGUAAAACUCUGUUAUUAGGGAAGAACAUAUGUGUAAGUAACUGUGCACAUCUUGACGGUACCUAAUCAGAAAGCCACGGCUAACUACGUG